AUACGUAGGGUGCAAGCGUUAAUCGGAAUUACUGGGCGUAAAGCGUACGCAGGCGGCUUUGCAAGACAGGUGUGAAUUCCCCGGGCCUAACCUGGGAACUGCAUUUGUGACUGCAUGGCUAGAGUUUGUCAGAGGGGGGUGGAAUUCCACGUGUAGCAGUGAAAUGCGUAGAUAUGUGGAGGAACACCGAUGGCGAAGGCAGCCCCCUGGGAUGUGAUUGACGCUGAUGGACGAAAGCGUGGGUAGCGAACAGGAUUAGAUACCCUGGUAGUCCACGCCGUAAACGAUGGAUACUAGCUGUUGGAAGCAAUUUCAGUGGCUAAGCGAAAGUGAUAAGUAUCCCACCUGGGGAGUACGUUCGCAAGAAUGAAACUCAAAGGAAUUGACGGGGGCCCGCACAAGCGGUGGAGCAUGUGGUUUAAUUCGAUGAUACGCGAGGAACCUUACCAAGGCUUAAAUGUAGAUUGACCGGUUUGGAAACAGAUCUUUCGCAAGACAAUUUACAAGGUGCUGCAUGGUUGUCGUCAGCUCGUGCCGUGAGGUGUCAGGUUAAGUCCUAUAACGAGCGCAACCCCUGUUGUUAGUUGCCAGCGAGUCAUGUCGGGAACUCUAACAAGACUGCCAGUGCAAACUGUGAGGAAGGUGGGGAUGACGUCAAAUCAUCACGGCCCUUACGCCUUGGGCUACACACGUGCUACAAUGGCCGGUACAGAGAGCAGCCACUGGGCGACCAGGAGCGAAUCUAUAAAACCGGUCACAGUUCGGAUCGGAGUCUGCAACUCGACUCCGUGAAGCUGAAUCGCUAUG
rnacentral:rRNA from 1 species